rnacentral:rRNA from 1 species
GCACAACGCGAAGAACCUUACCCACCUUUGACAUGUACGGAAGACUGCAGAGAUGCGGUUGUGCUCGAAAGAGAGCCGUAACACAGGUGCUGCAUGGCUGUCGUCAGCUCGUGUCGUGAGAUGUUGGGUUAAGUCCCGCAACGAGCGCAACCCUUGCCAUUAGUUGCUACGAAAGGGCACUCUAAUGGGACUGCCGGUGACAAACCGGAGGAAGGUGGGGAUGACGUCAAGUCCUCAUGGCCCUUAUAGGUGGGGCUAGAAACGUCAUACAAUGGCCGGUACAAAGGGUCGCGAAGCCGUGAGGUGGAGCCAAUCCCAUAAAGCCGGUCGUAGUCCGGAUCGCAGUCUGCAACUCGACUGCGUGAAGUCGGAAUCGCUAGUAAUCGUGGAUCAGCAUGUCACGGUGAAUACGUUCCCGGGUCUUGUACACACCG